rnacentral:lncRNA from 13 species
UCUGUAACAUGUUAUAAGCAGCAGCUAAACUUCUCAAUUUCACUGUGAUUUCUUGCCUUUUUGGAAACUGACAAUAAAUUGGCUACCUACCAUUCUUGACCUUUUGACUUCUGAACCACUGCUGACCAAAUCUUAGCUUGCCUUGUUUAACUCAGUAGCUCUAGUAUCUCUCUGAUCCUCUCCCAGAGGGUCUGAAGCUUUCAGCCUCCUGAACGGGUAAGCUCCCCCUCUAGUGUUCACUGCUCAUCAAAUUAUUCCUCCAACAAAUAAGACAGGAACUGCCUGUUUUUUGAUUCCCUAUCGAAGGACGGAGCUUGAUUACUGUUUAAUGACACAAAGAGGAAAAGAUUCCUGAAGUGAUUAAUGAGGUCAUACAUCCUACCAGGAAAGCUAGGUGAACUUUACAAAUUAGAUCUUCCAGGCUUUGACUGCGGCUUUCAGAGACCUGUAGCUUUCACUUUCACUGUCUUGGGAUCAAGUCUUCAUGAACAGAAACUGAGGCUUAACUUAUGAAGGUGCACAUGGAGAAAGGGGCUUGAUCUGCCCCCAGCUGUCUGGCCACCAUGGAUGAAGCAUCACAUAUGUGAGUGAAGCUAUCUUGGCUUUUUUUUUCUUUUUCUAACAAUUGAGCUUCCACCUGAUAACAAUGGUGUGAGUGACCCUGAUUUAUACCGCAC